GGCCUAGUAUAAACAAAAGCAUCCCAGGUUGGAAAUGAUAAGUUAUUUAAUGAUUUCAACAUAGAGCGACAUGAUUCUGAUAUGAGCUUGAAAGAGAUGUUUUGGUAGGUUUUGAGGAUAAGAGAUAAAGGAAUUAAGGUCAUUAGGUUACCAUAUUGAGAUUGGUUAGUUGGCAAUAUAGAAGAAGACAGGAGCAUUAAUAGAAAUAUAUGCACUGAAUGAAAUGGGAAAACACUCUCUAGAAAAUAAAAGGAGGAAGAGGCAAGAAAAAAGGAAGAAACACAGAAUGGAAAAGGCAAGGCUCCUGCAGUUGAAUGAGAGUUCUGAGGAAUUCGAAAUGUUCAAUAAAAAAAACGCAGAGAAAGUUGGUCUGGAGGAGGAAUAUUCACUUUUAGAGGAGGCGGAACAGGAAGUAAAUUCACAGUGCGCAAAGGAUUCCAUAUAUAUCGAUGAAACGUUUAUAGAAAAGAGGACCAAUUACAAAACGGCAAAAGAAUUAUUUGGGGACGGGAACAGGGAUGCGGUUAAGUUGCGAAAAACAUUGGAGGACGAAAGACAGAAAAGAGAAAAGCUUUUAAGAUUCACUAACCAUUGUAUUCAUUUUAUAAAAAGUAAGAAAAAAUGUAAAUUUUGCUGCAAGACUUAAAAGGAUUUUUGAUAUUGUUAAA